rnacentral:rRNA from 1 species
UACGAAGGGGGCUAGCGUUGUUCGGAAUUACUGGGCGUAAAGGGCGCGUAGGCUGUGCUGUAAGUCAGGCGUGAAAGCCCCGGGCUCAACCUGGGAAUUGCGCUUGAUACUGCGGCGCUGGAAGGUGGGAGAGGAUGGCGGAAUUCCCAGUGUAGAGGUGAAAUUCGUAGAUAUUGGGAAGAACACCGGUGGCGAAGGCGGCCAUCUGGCCCACAAUUGACGCUGAGGUGCGAAAGCGUGGGGAGCAAACAGG